rnacentral:rRNA from 1 species
UACGUAGGCAGCAAGCGUUGUUCGGAAUUACUGGGCGUAAAGCGUGCGUAGACGGUAGCGUAAGUCGGGUGUGAAAGCCCCGGGCUCAACCUGGGAAUUGCAUUCGAGACUGCUCUGCUAGGGUGCGGAAGAGGGUGGCGGAAUUCCCAGUGUAGAGGUGAAAUUCGUAGAUAUUGGGAAGAACACCGGUGGCGAAGGCGGUCACCUGGUCCGGUACUGACGCUGAGGUGCGAAAGCGUGGGGAGCAAACAGG